rnacentral:rRNA from 1 species
CCGGCCCAGAUUCCUACGGGAGGCAGCAGUAGGGAUUCUUCCGCAAUGGACGAAAGUCUGACGGAGCAACGCCGCCUGAGUGAUGAAGGUUUUUGGAUCGUAAAACUCUGUUGUCAGGGAAGAACAAGUGCCGUUUGAAUAGGGCGGCACCUUGACGGUACCUGACCAGAAAGCCCCGGCUAACUACGUGCCAGCAGCCGCGGUAAUACGUAGGGGGCAAGCGUUGUCCGGAAUUAUUGGGCGUAAAGCGCGCGCAGGCGGUCUUUUAAGUCUGAUGUGAAAGCCCACGGCUUAACCGUGGAGGGCCAUUGGAAACUGGAGGACUUGAGUACAGAAGAGGAGAGUGGAAUUCCACGUGUAGCGGUGAAAUGCGUAGAGAUGUGGAGGAACACCAGUGGCGAAGGCGACUCUCUGGUCUGUAACUGACGCUGAGGUGCGAAAGCGUGGGGAGCGAACAGGAUUAGAUACCCUGGUAGUCCACGCCGUAAACGAUGAGUGCUAGGUGUUAGGGGGUUUCCGCCCCUUAGUGCUGAAGUUAACGCAUUAAGCACUCCGCCUGGGGAGUACGGCCGCAAGGCUGAAACUCAAAAGAAUUGACGGGGGCCCGCACAAGCGGUGGAGCAUGUGGUUUAAUUCGAAGCAACGCGAAGAACCUUACCAGGUCUUGACAUCCUCUGCCAAUCCUAGAGAUAGGAUGUUCCCUUCGGGGACAGAGUGACAGGUGGUGCAUGGUUGUCGUCAGCUCGUGUCGUGAGAUGUUGGGUUAAGUCCCGCAACGAGCGCAACCCUUGAUCUUAGUUGCCAGCAUUUAGUUGGGCACUCUAAGGUGACUGCCGGUGACAAACCGGAGGAAGGUGGGGAUGACGUCAAAUCAUCAUGCCCCUUAUGACCUGGGCUACACACGUGCUACAAUGGAUGGAACAAAGGGCAGCGAAGCCGCGAGGUCAAGCAAAUCCCAUAAAACCAUUCUCAGUUCGGAUUGCAGGCUGCAACUCGCCUGCAUGAAGCCGGAAUCGCUAGUAAUCGCGGAUCAGCAUGCCGCGGUGAAUACGUUCCCGGGCCUUGUACACACCGCCCGUCACACCACGAGAGUUGGUAACACCCGAAGUCGGUGAGGUAACCUUUGGAGCCAGCCGCCGUAAGGUGACCA